rnacentral:rRNA from 1 species
UACGUAGGGGGGCAAGCGUUUGUCCGGAAUCAUUGGGCGUAAAGAGCGCGUAGGCGGCCCUGUAAGUCCGCUGUGAAAAGUCAAGGGCUCAACCCUUGAAUGCCGGUGGAUACUGCAGGGGCUAGAGUCCGGAAGAGGCGAGUGGAAUUCCUGGUGUAGCGGUGAAAUGCGCAGAUAUCGGGAGGAACACCUAUGGCGAAGGCAGCUCGCUGGGACGUUACUGACGCUGAGACGCGAAAGCGUGGGGAGCAAACAGG